CAAAGACGAAUCCAGUAAUCACGCAUGCCGAGCAGCGCGCUGUACAAACACUGAAGGAACGACAUGAAAGCUGCGAGUCUGCGACACUGAGCCGGAUACAACAGGCAAGCAGAUGGCCAAAUCCACAGUAACCGACUGCAGCAGCAUGGAGCAAAGACCAGUGUCCUCAGGACCUGAUGCUGCCACAGGAGCCUUUCACCUGAAGUCCUCCUCAAACCCACUUUGAGAGGGGACCUUCUCAAAACACACAGGGAACCCCUGAGCAGCAAUUUUCUUUGCUUUUAUAACGCAUGAGUCAUCCUGACAUAUGAAAAACAAAUUUCAGGCUUGCUCAUGGAAAUUUGCGUGGGCUGGUGAAGGUGUGAGGGUAGAUCUGGAAGAAUGCUGGACCUGAGCUUGAUUCCACCAGACUUCAGUGGUCUGUAUCCCUGCCAUUUAUAUUUUUAGCACACUGGGAAACCCAAAGAUAUUUAUUCUCACAAGCUCUCUCAGAACAGAACUCUUGGAAAAGUGCCAGUGAUAGCAGCGAUUGUUGUUAAUUGGGUCAAGCUGUCUGCUAGUUUUACAUCCACCCACUCACGCAGCUACUGUAGGAAGAAGAAAGGGCAGAAGGUGCAGUGCUGUGCUACACCGAGCCCCUGGGGGCAGUGUUGUACAGCCUUUAUUCAACCUGCAGUGCUGUACUGUAGAGAGAGCUGGGAAUACAUAGGAGCCCCGUGUGAUGUCAGUACAGUAAAGCUGGCAAACACUGCAGUGAAUUUAAUUUGUAAGACUGGAAAGAACAUACUGAGGUUAUUAACGCAAUAUGUCUGAAAUUCAUUGGGGAAAAUAAACACAAAUGAUUCA